AUUACCUUUAUUAAAUUUGUUUUUAAGCAUAUUUGUUUUUAUUUUUUAUAUCGAAUUAAUAGAAUGAAUCAGAUUGAAGAUGAAGUUGCUGAAUUACUAAGAAAUAAUGACAAUAUUGAAGCAAGAAAGUUAAAAAGCAUUUUUAAAUUUUUAAA